rnacentral:tRNA from 1 species
GCCAGAGUGGUGAAAUGGUUUCAACAUUAGAUUAUUACUCUGAAGACCAGGGUUUGAAUCUCUGCUCAGCCA